AUUGAACGCUGGCGGCAGGCCUAACACAUGCAAGUCGAACGGUAACAGGAAGAAGCUUGCUUCUUUGCUGACGAGUGGCGGACGGGUGAGUAAUGUCUGGGAAACUGCCUGAUGGAGGGGGAUAACUACUGGAAACGGUAGCUAAUACCGCAUAACGUCGCAAGACCAAAGAGGGGGACCUUCGGGCCUCUUGCCAUCGGAUGUGCCCAGAUGGGAUUAGCUAGUAGGUGGGGUAACGGCUCACCUAGGCGACGAUCCCUAGCUGGUCUGAGAGGAUGACCAGCCACACUGGAACUGAGACACGAUCCAGACUCCUACGGGAGGCAGCAGUGGGGAAUAUUGCACAAUGGGCGCAAGCCUGAUGCAGCCAUGCCGCGGGUAUGAAGAAGGCCUUCGGGUUGUAAAGUACUUUCAGCGGGGAGGAAGGGAGUAAAGUUAAUACCUUUGCUCAUGGACGUUACCCGCAGAAGAAGCACCGGCUAACUCCGU
rnacentral:rRNA from 1 species